rnacentral:rRNA from 1 species
ACAAGCGGUGGAGCAUGUGGUUUAAUUCGACGCAACGCGAAGAACCUUACCAGGUCUUGACAUCCCCUGCAAAGCUAUGGAGACAUAGUGGAGGUUAUCAGGGAGACAGGUGGUGCAUGGUUGUCGUCAGCUCGUGUCGUGAGAUGUUGGGUUAAGUCCCGCAACGAGCGCAACCCUUAUUGCUAGUUACCAUCAUUCAGUUGGGGACUCUAGCGAGACUGCCAGUGAUAAACUGGAGGAAGGUGGGGAUGACGUCAAAUCAUCAUGCCCCUUAUGACCUGGGCUACAAACGUGAUACAAUGGCUGAAACAAAGGGCAGCGAAGCAGUGAUGUGGAGCGAAACCCAAAAAAGCAGUCUCAGUUCGGAUUGAAGUCUGCAACUCGACUUCAUGAAGUCGGAAUCGCUAGUAAUCGCGGAUCAGAACGCCGCGGUCGAAUACGUUCUCGGGGUUU